rnacentral:rRNA from 1 species
UACAGAGGUGGCAAGCGUUGUUCGGAUUUACUGGGCGUAAAGGGCGCGUAGGCGGUUCGUUAAGUCUUGUGUGAAAUCCCCCGGCUCAACUGGGGAACUGCACAGGAAACUAGCGGGCUUGAGUUCGGGAGAGGGAAGCGGAAUUCCGGGUGUAGCGGUGAAAUGCGUAGAUAUCCGGAGGAACACCGGUGGCGAAGGCGGCUUCCUGGACCGACACUGACGCUGAGGCGCGAAAGCUAGGGGAGCAAACGGG